GACGAACGCUGGCGGCGUGCUUAACACAUGCAAGUCGAGCGGACGGAGAACUUCGGUUCAAAGUUAGCGGCGGACGGGUGAGUAACGCGUGAACAAUCUGUCCCAGACAGGGGGAUAACAGUCUGAAAAGGCUGCUAAUACCGCAUAAGACCACAGUGCCGCAUGGCACAGGGGUAAAAGAAUUUCGGUUUGGGGUGAGUUCGCGUCUGAUUAGCUAGUUGGUGAGGUAACGGCUCACCAAGCCGACGAUCUUUAGCUGGUCUGAGAGGAUGAUCAGCCACACUGGGACUGAGACACGGCCCAG
rnacentral:rRNA from 1 species